AUGAGGCAUCGAGUGAAAAGUGUUGCAGGACCGACCCGGGCAUCGGAGGCGGGCGCUAGGAGCCGCGUGGGGCAUCACCUUGGACUCCGCCCAGGGAGAAAGCUCUGGGGCCCCCAGCGCCGGGAACCUUGCCGCAGGCCCCUUACCCAGAGGUGUGCGCUCAGACAGCUUGCUGGCCGGUGGGGAGCAAGCGUGCGUUCCGCCCCCGCCCCCCGCCCUCUGCCGUCCCCGGUGGGCAGCUCAGUGCUCCUCACCACCCCCGGAGAGAGCAGCGGAGGGUCUGCGAGACCCCGCGGGGGUGCGCCGUCCCUCCCGUCCGCACCUUGCUUGGGGGCACCGUCCCCUUCCCACACCCCCAGAACAAAUGCGCCGUGGAGCCCCAAAACGAGACCUUGCUUUGCCGCAAAAGCCUGCGGGUGGUCCGGGCCGGCUGGAUCCUCGGGAAGACGGGCCGCUCACCAAGGAAGGUCCGCGGGGAGAGGCGGGGGCGAGGGGGCCUUUACCCGAACAACAGGUGGCACGCAGGCCGGAGCCGGCCCCUCACACCCACCUGCUCUCGGCACGCCUGGAGGCCCGAAUGCCUUCCCGCUGGGACGCUCCCACCACGGAGACAAGGGCACCGAGGGGCCGUGCGGACCCUGCUCUGGUUCACCGGCCACUCACCGCUCUCGGCUGCCUUUUUCCUCCGAAAACACCCUUUUUAUAACUAAAAGUUCUCAUCUUUCUCUGGCAAACUCCGCCGGGCUGUGGGAUGCUCAGAGGCGGGGGAAGCCCUGGGGACAAGGUCACGAGCACAGAGCUUCUCCCGCAGGCCGGGCUGGUGCCCCUCGAGCCUGCAGGGCUGGGAGAGGGACUCGGAACCCAUGGGGGGCGGGUGACCCAGGACUUGGCCGUGGGCCCGGGCUGGCUGUGACGCGCAGAACCCCCGUGCGUGUGAGCAGCAGGUGCGCACGGGGGCUGACAGGUGUCCCCGGACAACGUCCACGAACGCCUGAGAGAGCCCGCAGAGCCUUGUGA
rnacentral:lncRNA from 1 species